rnacentral:rRNA from 1 species
GUUCCUAGGGAGGCAGCAGUGGGGAAUAUUGGGCAAUGGGCGCGAGCCUGACCCAGCAACGCCGCGUGAAGGAAGAAGGCUUUCGGGUUGUAAACUUCUUUUCUUAGGGACGAAGAAAGUGCCGGUACCUGAGGAAUAAGCCACGGCUAACUACGUGCCAACAGCCGCGGUAAUACGUAGGUGGCAAGCGUUAUCCGGAUUUACUGGGUGUAAAGGGCGUGUAGGCGGGGAAGCAAGUCAGAUGUGAAGACCACGGGCGCAAC